AGAGAGGAGGUAACCAAGCCUGACAAUAUCUCUGUUAGGGCUGCAUGACACUUUGAACAUAAUCUAAUAAUGACAGUAUUGAUUUUGGAGGCAAAGUAGUGAUUGAAGGGAAAUCUUUAUUUAGAAGUCAAUAGUGAGGGAGAAUGACUCCCAUACCAACCCAAGAAAAAUGCAGACACUUCUUCUAGCUGAAUCCUCCAACCCCAGCUGAGUUUCUUCUGAUGCUGGCAUUUCCAAUUCUAGCUUACUAUCCACUUCUACCUCAAGAGGUGUGUGUGGUCAGUCUAACAGAGACUGACAAGAUUGCAAGCAAAGCCCACUGGAAGUGAGUGUAAGAGAUGAUGGAACUGGAAGUCCAAUACAGGUUUUUAACAGGUUAGAUUUGGCACCAAAUCACGCAAGG